GAUGAACGCUGGCGGCGUGCCUAAUACAUGCAAGUCGAGCGAACGGACGAGAAGCUUGCUUCUCUGAUGUUAGCGGCGGACGGGUGAGUAACACGUGGAUAACCUACCUAUAAGACUGGGAUAACUUCGGGAAACCGGAGCUAAUACCGGAUGAUAUUUUGAACCGCAUGGUUCAAAAGUGAAAGACGGUCUUGCUGUCACUUAUAGAUGGAUCCGCGCUGCAUUAGCUAGUUGGUAAGGUAACGGCUUACCAAGGCAACGAUGCAUAGCCCACCUGAGAGGGUGAUUCGCCCCACCGGAACCUGAGAAACGUCCAAGAUCCUACGGGAGGCAGGCGUAGGGAAUCUUCCGCAAUGGGCGAAAGCCUGACGGAGCAACGCCGCGUGAGUGAUGAAGGUCUUCGGAUCGUAAAACUCUGUUAUUAGGGAAGAACAUAUGUGUAAGUAACUGUGCACAUCUUGACGGUACCUAAUCAGAAAGCCACGGCUAACUACGUG
rnacentral:rRNA from 1 species